UACGUAGGUGGCGAACGUUAUCCGGAAUUAUUGGGCGUAAAGGGCGCGUAGGCGGCUUGGCAAGUGGAAGGUGAAAUCCCUCGGCUUAACCGAGGAACUGCCCUCCAAACUGCUUUGCUUGAGGCCGGGAGAGGCGAGUGGAAUUCCCAGUGUAGCGGUGAAAUGCGUAGAUAUUGGGAGGAACACCAGUGGCGAAGGCGGCUCGCUGGACCGGUUCUGACGCUGAGGCGCGAAAGCGUGGGGAGCAAACGGG
rnacentral:rRNA from 1 species